CUUUGGGAGGCGGAUCACCUGAGGUCAGUGUUUGGAAAACUCUGCCCCUACUGCAAACGCUCUCUCUCUCUCUCUCUUUCCCUCCCCCACAAAGAGGCUCCCUUAUCUCUCACUUUACAUACCGGUCCUAGCCCUCCCGCCGCCCAGCUUCCCGCCGCCCAGCUUCCCACCCAGCAGUUCAAACUGACCAACAGUUGCCCACCACCUCGGCUUUUGGCUUCCCCACCCCCCAGCCCUUCAGCCCCCUAUAAAACAACCCUGCCCCUCUGAGCAGCGCGGCCAUUUUUCCUUUUCGUCCCGGCUGGCCUGCCCGGAGGCUCUUUCCUCUCAAUAAAGCCUGAACUUAAGGAAUUUCCUCUAGCCUGCGGUCCGGUUUUUUCCGAACGAGCUCAGUCUUCCCGCAGAGGGUAGGUCGGACAAAUGGUGCCGGAAACCUGGGACGGGAGCUGGGGCCGUUGGCCCGGCCACGGCCCCCCUCCCCGACCUACCCAACACUGGCCCUGCCACCUCCACGUUCCGAUUAAGGCUGGAUUGAAGCUUACCCCACAGCCUCUGAGUCUGCCGGGACAGUAGCCACUCAUCUCAUUCAAGACAUCAUCCCACGCUUUGGACUCCCGGCUACCAUACAGUCAGACAACGGCCCAGCCUUUAUCUCCAAAGUCACUAAUGCCGUUUCUACCUCUCUAGGAAUUCAGUAGAAGCUACAUGCUGCCUACCAUCCUCAGUCCUCUGGUAAGGUGGAACGGGCCAAUGGCCUAAUAAAGGAGCAUCUGACUAAGCUCAUGCUUGAGCUCCGCCAAUCCUGGGUAACCUUAAUUCCUAUCACCCUCACCAGGGUAAGAGCAGGCCCCCGGGGCCCAUCACAGCUUAGCCCAUUUGAGCUGCUGUAUGGUUGCCCCUUCCUACUUUCAACUCCCCCACCGCCAGAGACUACUCCUCUAGACAGCUACCUCCCCUACUUUACUCUCCUUCGCAGCCUUCUCCGAGAACACGCCAACGCUUCUCUUCCCCAACCCACCCAGCCAUCUGAAAAUACACAGAAAGUCCUCCCGGUAACCCUAGUCCCUCGACUCACUAUAUAUUCCCCAGCCGAAUUCCAGAUGCUGCAAACUCCCCAUCGCUGCACCCGAUGAGCUGCCUUCCUACCCAUUGCCGUUGGAGUCUCCCUUGCUGGUUCAGCACUUGCAGCAGGAUUAGGAGGAGGGGCACUAGUCCACUCUCACCUGGCUAUAGCCCGACUGACCUCGCAAUUCCAAGCAGCUAUUGAUGACUCUACUGAGUCUUUAGCAUCACUCCAACGACAGAUCACCUCAGUUGCCCAAGUUGCCUUACAGAACUGAAGAGCCCUAGACCUGCUCACUGCUGAACGAGGAGGGACCUGUAUCUUCCUACAAGAAGAGUGCUGUUACUACAUCAGUGAAUCCGGCCUAGUAGAAACCCGAAUCGAGAGCCUCCAGAAACUCAAAACUAACCUCUAGAGUCAGAAGUUCUCGGCUGAAGCCACAGCGUGGUGGUCUUCCUCUAUGUAUACCCUCUUGUCACCAUUGCUUGGGCCCCUAAUAGCCGUUUGCCUAAUCUUACUUAUUGCUCCUUGCUUUCUCCAGUUCCUACAGCGGCUCUUUCAAGAACUGACUGGAGUCACCAUCCACCAGAUGCUGCUCCAACCCCACCCUGAACGAGUGCAAGAAACAGACCUCUCCCCAAACCUCCAGGCUCCUUAGGAAAAGAAACCUCUUCAGAACCCCCCGUCGACCCUUGUCAGCAGGAAGUAGCCAGAGAGACAACCGACGCCCCUGACCCCCUCUUUUUCUUUUCUUUAAGGAGUCGGGAAUGUUUGGAAAACUCUGCCCCUACCGCAAACGCUCUCUCUCUCUCUCUCUUUCCCUCCCCCACAAAGAGGCUCCCUUAUCUCUCACUUUACAUACUGGUCCUAGCCCUCCCGCCGCCCAGCUUCCCACCCAGCAGUUCAAACUGACCAACAGUUGCCCACCACCUCGGCUUUUGGCUUCCCCACCCCCCAGCCCUUCAGCCCCCUAUAAAACAACCCUGCCCCUCUGAGCAGCGCGGCCAUUUUUCCUUUUCGUCCCGGCUGGCCUGCCCGGAGGCUCUUUCCUCUCAAUAAAGCCUGAACUUAAGGAA